rnacentral:lncRNA from 1 species
CCAAAUCCCAAAUUGCGCCUCCGUCCUAUCCGUGUCUCCCUUCCUUUCGACGUCCUUCAUGUUCUAACCCUAAUUUUUAUUUCUUUUGAAUUUCUCAAUCCAAUAAGAUAUUCAAAAGCUGUGACAACCGUGACAGAGGAGAUUCAAGUUUAGGGAAGUAAGUCCUUGUUGCGGUUAAUUUGCUUCAUUUUCACUGAAUAAAGCGGUAGAUUUGGCUCGGGUUAAAGCCGAAUGGAGAGCUAAAGAAGUUAUUCUAGCCAGGGAGAGAGCUAAGGAUGCGUUGGAGCGAUUUUUUGCCCUGACCUCCAAGAUUGAUGAAUUGAUUGACACAUCCAAAAUUGAACAUUUGGCAAAACAAUUAACUCAAACUUGCCAAAUUGGGGAUGCAGAAGGACAAAAGGAUGAUGAUGAUCUAUUGCAUAAUGGUCUGCACUCUUUGUGAGUUAAUAUACUCUUUAUUUUUUUAUGUUAUGUGGAAUGGCUUGAACUUUAAGAAUUUAUGUAGAUUAUAUGGUCAGAAUUUUCAGUUCUAGUAUUGACCAGUUAAUUUGUAUUUGUAGUAUUGACCAAUUGAUUUGUAUUUGUGAUACUAUAGCUCGAUUUGUAAUUUAUGAGUUCAGUUUCAAUUUUUAACACAAAUCAGCAACACAAUUGACAUCAGAAUCACAAUGAAUGUGAUUGGUACAGUCGUCCUGGUCGUUGGCCACAGGAGAAUGGCAACGACUUGCUAAAACUCGUCUUUCAAUCUCUAUAAUCAUCCUCUCUAAUAAGCAGGCAUCAUAUUUUUUUUAUCUUUAGUCAGAUCUAACACCUUUUGUACAACUUCAAUUGCCUCAAAUGAAAGCAUCAAAUAGUUUUCAAAAUAAUAAAGCAACUAUCCCAAAUGUAUAACCAUGAACUAUCUUGAAUAAAAUAUAUAAGAUGUGCACAUAUCAGAAGGAAAAUCGAAAGUCUGAGUAGAAAUGAAUUUGCUUGACUUGGCAACAACUAAUACAUUGUAGUUUAUUCUAUACAUUUUAAACUGAAGUGGAUAUGCUUGGGUUUUAGUAUUAUUGAUUGCCAAUAAUUGUAGAAUGUAUAUGCUGCAAAUAUUCUAGAUGCUAUAAAAUAGUGAAAAUUAGUGAUGAAGUACAACAUACUUGUUACAAAACUAACUUGGAACAUAUUUUAAUGACUGAUAGUUAAUGUGUGUAAACUAGGGAUGAUAGUUUUAGGUACACGAAGCGACAAAACCUAACAGCAACCACUUCGUAAAACCAUAUAUGGUUUGGGAUGGGUAGUGGGAUUUACAUUUAGGUCACCCGUUACAACUUACAUGCUACUCGUUUAGUAGGUACAAUUUUAUAAUUUAUAAUUUGUCAUAUAAUGUGCAGAUAUACAUUGUUAAAUUUCAAACUUGUGAACUCUUAAUAGUUAAUAGAGAAGCUCUAAAUAAAUCACAAAUUAUUUAAAUAUAUAUUUAUAUAGAAUAUCAUACUGUAUUAUAUAUUUUAUGUUGCAUUAUAUUAUAAAUGGGUACAGAAUGCCUCGGCUUAAUGGAUUAGAGGGACAGGAAUGGGUAGCAAAAUAAAUUGUAGCUAGGUUUAGAUAGGGAAACAAUUAAAGACGAAUAAUUUAAAAUCAGAGUAAAGUGAAUGAAUAAUUUCAAAAGCAAUGAAGGAGGUUAUAUAAGUUUCUCUAGCUCUUCUUAGUUAAUAUUUUGUUGUUGAUGAAUAUAUAUGUUUCCAAUGCUCUGUUUUUUUUAUGCUCAUAUAUGAAUGGGUACAGUAUGAUAGUAUUUUCUUUCAUAACUAUGGUAGAUUUUGAAAUCCAAUUAAUUUGCUACAGCUAAUUAAUUUAUAUCAUGUAGAGUAGUAGUAUACGAAUUUUUUAUAUGCCAAGAUGUAUAUAUACCUUAAAUCAAAAAAUCUUACUGAUAUGAGUUUUUUUAGAAUCACCACUUUUGUGAUGGAAAUUUUUAAAAGCUGUGCAAAAUGAUAGAACUCGAUUACGUAGAGGUUCAUUGACAUAGCAGUUGGAUCAACCAGGUUUUAGUCCUGAGUGCACAAGAAUGAGUUUGUUGUUUACUUCUUUAGAGAUGCGGGACCUGGGAAUGAUUGGAUCUCUUGUGAAUUCUUUGACAAUGCUGGAAACAUCUUCUGUUACUGCAUUUGCUAGAGAUUUUCAAUUCAGCCAACCAAUAUUUACAAUUUCAAUUUCUAAUUGAUGGCUAUUUCAUCAUUAAUUAAUGUGUAUUAAUACAUAUUCAUCUGUAUACUAACUCCCAAAUACGAUGGCAUGAAAACAUUUUCAAAUAUAUAUAUAUAUAUAUAUAUAUAUAUAUAUAUAUAUAUAUAUAUAUAUUUGCAUAUUUGAUAUAGUAAAAAAUAUAACAUGUUAUACUAAAUAUAUUGCAGAUUUAAAACCAUAUAAGGUGCUAAAUCAACAUACUCAAAAGAAAGGAGCAAGUAAAGUGGUUCAGUGUAACGUGGGGCUUGUAAAUGGGGGUUUAUGCUACAGGAGUCAUUAGCGACGUCUGUGUCGUCGCCAGUGAGGUCAUUCUCGACGGCGUGGCGUCUAUCGACAAUG